AAACCUGAGAGGCAGCCCCCACCAGGGCACCAUUUCUUUAGUGACUCUGUUCUUUUUCCCACUUAUCAGUACAAUCCUUUAUCCUUUUCUUCUGCCUCACUCCCCAACCCUUUUCAGCACCAAAAGCAGAUCUUCUGCACUUCCUAUCCCCUUUCUCUGCUACCAGCCUCCCCAAUUGGAAACCCCAGUUCUAUGGUUUCUAUGAAAACAAAAAAUGAGGUGAGAGAAAUGAAGUCCAGUAAUAAUAUGGAAUCUUAAGAUCUCUCCUUUGCUUUCCUUCCUGUUUCCCUUUCUUUGUUAUAUAUAACGCCACAGUAUCAACCUACAGCCGCCACAAUCAAGACCUGAAACCAAAACAAUGUUAUCAUCAUCAUCAUCAUCAUCUCCAUUUGUCUACUCUCUUACCCUUUUCUUUUCUCUUUUCCUCCUUUUCUUCUUUGCGCCCCAGAUCCUACCUCUCAAGAAGCAACAAUCCCCAAUCACUUUCCAGGACGAACUGGACGAUCUCCAGCUCUUCCAUGAAGCCACUCUCGCAUCGUCCCGUGGCUUUUCCAAGAUUUCCCAUCUGGGUACCACCAAUCCCACGCCUAAAAUCGCCUUCCUUUUCCUUACGAACUCGGAUCUCGUCUUUGCCCCCUUGUGGCAACGCUUUUUCCAGGGAAACGAUCAUCUAUUCAACGUUUACGUCCAUGCGGAUCCGUACUCCAAACUGUCAACCCCGCAGUGGUCAGUCAAAGCCAAUUUCAUCCCAGCCAAGAGAACGGAACGCGGCUCCCCAACACUCGUCUCCGCCGCCCGCAGACUCCUCGCCAACGCCAUCAUCGACGAUCCAUUCAAUCUAUACUUUGCCCUGUUGUCCCAACAUUGCAUUCCUCUCCAUUCCUUCCAAUACAUUUACACUUCCCUUCUCGGGAACCCGACAGCAGCAUCCAAAUCCUUCCUAACUCAACCAUCUCACAAAAGCUCCAUCGAGAUUUUGUCCAAUGAGCCACAUUUGCACAACCGCUACGUUGCUCGAGGCGAGGGUGUGAUGCUCCCUGAAGUAUCAUUCCAGCGGUUCAGGGUUGGAUCUCAGUUUUUCGUGCUGGCAAAAAGACAUGCUUUACUUGUACUGAAAGAAAGGAAGUUAUGGAGAAAAUUUAAACUCCCUUGCUUAGACUUGGACUCUUGCUACCCCGAGGAGCAUUAUUUUCCUACAUUAUUGUCAAUGCAGGAUCCACGAGGAUGCAGCCAUUACACAUUAACCAGGGUCAACUGGACCGACAGUGUUGAUGGUCAUCCACAUACCUACCAUUCCCCGGAGGUGUCACCGGACCUCUUACAUACAUUGAGGAAGUCGAAUUCGAGUUACUCCUAUUUUUUUGCUCGAAAGUUCUCUCCGGAUUGCUUGAAACCCUUGAUGGCAAUUGCCGAUGAUGUCAUCUUCAGAGAUUGAAGGGACCUAGGAUUGGUAGAAGCCAAGAGGCAUCAUCCCGUUUUGGUUUUAGUUAGGUUUAAGAAGCUUUGGGGUCUUUGGGAGUGGAGAAAGAAUCAUGUUGCCGUGUGGGGUUAAUUUCAUUAAAUUAAUGCCCACCUAUGCCUAGGUGCUCUUUUGUCUUUUGUACAGAAAUUGGAUCACCAUGAAUACAUGGUACUAGUUUUACCCUUUAUUGAGUUUUCAAAAGUUCUCUUGGAAGGUUUGAAAGGAAGGUGGGCAUAGAGUGGAGUGGAGAAAAGCAAUAUGGUUUAAACAACUGCCUUUUGCUUCCUCUGGUUUCUUAUUUUUUUUUUUGGGUCCCGUAAUGAUCUCCCAUUUGCUCCUUCCACCAAGCUUCUGUUAUUGCAAUUAUACUAUGUUACCUACACCAUGGGGAAAUGAAAUUUCUCUUUUCAUUUU